rnacentral:tRNA from 1 species
GCCAGCUUAGCUCAGUUGGUAGAGCUGCGGUUUUGUAAACCGUCGGUCGGGGGUUCGAGUCCCUUAGCUGGCU